AGUGAACGCUGGCGGUAGGCCUAACACAUGCAAGUCGAACGGCAGCACAGUAAGAGCUUGCUCUUACGGGUGGCGAGUGGCGGACGGGUGAGGAAUACAUCGGAAUCUACUUUUUCGUGGGGGAUAACGUAGGGAAACUUACGCUAAUACCGCAUACGACCUACGGGUGAAAGCAGGGGAUCUUCGGACCUUGCGCGAUUGAAUGAGCCGAUGUCGGAGUAGCUAGUUGGCGGGGUAAAGGCCCACCAAGGCGACGAUCCGUAGCUGGUCUGAGAGGAUGAUCAGCCGCACUAGAACUGAGACACGGACCAGGCGCCUACGGGAGGCAGCAGUGGGGAAUAGUGGACAGUGGGCGCAAACCUGAUCCAGCCAUACCGCGUGGGUGAAGAAGGCCUUCGGGUUGUAAAGCCCUUUUGUUGGGAAAGAAAAGCAGCAGGUUAAGACCCCGCUGUUCUGACGGUACCCAAAGAAUAAGCACCGGCUAACUUCGUG
rnacentral:rRNA from 1 species